rnacentral:rRNA from 1 species
UACGUAGGGCGCGAGCGUUGUCCGGAAUUAUUGGGCGUAAAGAGCUCGUAGGCGGCCUGUUGCGUCCGCUGUGAAAGCCCGGGGCUUAACCCCGGGUCUGCAGUGGAUACGGGCAGGCUAGAGGUAGGUAGGGGAGAAUGGAAUUCCCGGUGUAGCGGUGAAAUGCGCAGAUAUCGGGAGGAACACCAGAGGCGAAGGCGGCGACCUGGACAAGUACUGACACUCAACUACGAAAGCGUGGGGAGCAAACAGG